GGUCAAUUUCUCUCAGUGAGACAGGCGGUGGCUUCUUGUCUGGUUCUGGUUUUUGGAUGACCUCCUUUUCCGGCAGGUCCUCCUCAUUUUCCCUCAUCCUCACCUCAUCCUUCGUCAAGGUCGGGGUGCUUUCCUCAGGACAGAGGCAGCUCCAGCCUGUAGGCGGGCGUCUCCGACUCCAGCAGCAGAGUUUUCUCUUUCACUUCCAAGCUGGCAUCCGCCACUGACUUCAGCAGAGGUACGUCGAUGGUGAUGACAAUCUCUUUGGGCCUGGGGCUCUUUCCGGAGUCUCUGGAGCAUCUGAAGUCCUGCAGGUCAAUGAAUGAUCGAUAUUUUAUGGUGUAGCUUGGUUCAGUGGGCAGUUUGCUUUUCUCAUUCUUAAUUUCGAAGCUUUUAGGUUUGGGAUCAGGGCAAGUUUUCAGGUUUUUUUCAUCUGGGUAAGGAAAGGCAAGUGGGUGAUCUUCAGGAGGUUUGGCUGUAUAUCCAGGGAUGGGUUUACGGAUUACACAAGGCUGAGGUGUGCCCUUGUACUUUGUGUUCAUCUCUCUCACAUUGUUUUUGUCCAGCGUCACCUUAAAGGCAUCCUGGAUUCCCUGAAUGGCCGUGCUGAUCACCAUUUGCAUGAAUUCGGCCUUUUUGUUUGCUAUGUGGAGGGUGUCAGGGUGGAAUAUGACAUCAUAGAUCAUGAUUUUGUUCCCUUUUGGAUCGGUGUCUUCCCUUCCUGGGUGAAGAUUGUGAGGCAGUGACCAACAGUGCCCUCUGCGACCAUCCUCAGACAACCCCCACUUACACUCAGGCUUCCCAACUUUGUCAUUCGCACAGAUGUUGAUGUAGCACUUCUGCUUGCUGUUCACGCUGGUCCUCAGGGCUCUGAAUGGCUUCGGGUGGAUGAACUCAAUGUUGUUUCCCCUCUCCUUCUCCAGUAUAGCAAUCUCCUCCUCAUAGAUUCUCCUAUUCUCUGGAUCGGCUAUCUCCUGGGCAUAAUCAUUCAGCAUUUCCCUGAAUUUCUCAUCUUUAAACGCCUUUGUCAAUCUCCUCAUUUCAUCUGCUGUCAUGUUGAGCUCUUUUAGCUUUUCCCCGAUCUCCAUCGUGAAGUACGGCAAUCACAGAGAACCCAGGGAAAUAAAAUUAAAGAGGGUAUAUUACCACAACAGUGAAGUUUUUGCUCUUAGAUCACCUGCAACGAGAACCCCCAGAAAUGAACGUUUGACAUCAGUUCGGUAGUAUUAUAACCUCCGCGUAGCUAAAAUUAUCGUGUAUUUUUUUAAGUUAAAAUAUGCUUUUCUCCAGUUUGUAAAAUAGCACCUGUAAACUACAACAAAUAUGGUGAUGUUGCAGCCUUUAAUAAACUAGUAAUUGAUCUAAAGAGAACUACGCUCGUGACGAAAAUACUACAAGUUAGCUUAAAUUGCAUAUGUGGUAUACUUUUGUGGCGUUUGAACUUACCGUGCAUUUUUCUCGAAUUGAAUGCACCCAAUAUGUCUUUACUCGGAUUUCAGAACGCUUGCCGUUACAUACUACGGAAACGCUAACACAAUAGAGGUCUAGUUUCUCUAAGAGCCCGUUCUCUUCCCUAAAGUAGUCGUGCGUGUACUGUCACCAUAGCAACCAAUACAUCGUUGAUACAAGGAAGACAUAACUUAAAUUUAAAAAGAUAAAGAAACGGUUUUUUACGUAUGUCCAGGGUUCAUAUAUGUGCUCAUGUUAUUACCUACACAAAGAAUAAUUAAUAUUUACAUAUUAUUACUCUUUCCCUUUUUUUUGCCAAACGAAUCGAUUGAGUCACGUGACUUCUCAUGUAUCCGUAAAACCAUUUUUGGUAACAUUUAUGACACGUUUUGACUAAGUUAUAAUUGAAGUAGUGAAUUUAACUUGUUUUUUGUUUGCUUUAGAUUUUUUUUGUACAAGUUAGGAUAAUGUUUCAGUUCAGCCACCAUGUGUCGCUAUUGACCGCGCACCUGGGAACUAACCGAACCGUGAGUAAGUCGGUCAGUAAGGCAAAGGGGCGGGUGUGGAGGCAAGCGAUUUGAUUGGUCGCGCCCCCGACAGUUAACUUUUCUCUCUCUCUGAUUGGAAGGAGGGCGCUGUUGUUCGGUGAGACCACGACCAUGAAGAAGCAAAGAGGUGUCAAUGGGAGGCCAAUACUGGCACACUGGAUGCAAGUUGUCUUAAAUAAAUACUAUUUUCAUUACAUUAAAAAACUAAUAAGUUAAUCGUAACGAGGAUAAGCUGUUUCGAAAAUGAACGAAUGGUUCAUUAUAAGUAUUACAACGUGAUGCUCUGAGUAGGCACUAGUGCUGUUCUGAAAGUAGUGCACCUGUCAUGCGACAUGACCAUUUUCUAGGAAUGUUGUGGAAGUGAUCAUUUUAUAAAAAUAGCCAGAGAUUUAUAGAAGCAAAUGUUGAUAGUGAAUGACUCCCCAAUUAUCUUGAGAAAUCAUUUACAUAAUGAGUGUCUUUGACAUAAAUAAUUUACAUAAUCAAAGUAUUCAUAGUGCAUCAUAAUCUGUUUUCAAAACUCAUAUGUCAAGGUGAACUUGAUCAAGCAAGAUCUUCCCCUUUGCCACGUGAUCAAAAUGAAUUGGAUCUAAUCAGUGGUGAGCCGUGCAUUUCAACCUUCCGCCUUCAGUGACGUCACAUACAUUAACACAAUAUAGGCUCGUCAAGCAGCAUUUAAUUUCAGGAGCAUUUAAAACCAUCAAGUAUGCAUUCACAAUUAAGAGCAGGAAACUUAUCAGGUGAGCUGAUUUACUUGAUACAUUUUUGUAUCUUUGUCAUUUUAUUUCGUUACCAUUAAUCCUAACGAAAUAAAAUAACAAGAAGAAAUGUAAAAUAAAAUUCAUUUACUCACCAAUGUAGUGCCUAUUCACUGAGCUGCAGAUCUACGCGAGUGUCCGCAAACGUUUUUAAACGCACCGUAGCUUGUAAGUGCCCAGCCGUGCUCUGAUUGUUUCCUUGCUGCCUUGGUAAAACAACUUAAAUUGGUAAAUCCAGUGGAAGGUCCGUCUUGAAAAUGGUGUGGAAAGUAGUCCUGCAACCAGAUCAACGUCUUCUCCUUCGGCCAUUUUGGGUCAAAAUGCAGCAACAGCUCCCUCUAGCAGGCGCUAAUCCAAUCACCGAACGCGCACGUCCAGUGUCGACGUCACUCGUUCUAGCUGGCCCUGGUACGCAGACUCGUGAUCUGAUAGGCUAUUGCAACCUGACUGUGCACAUUCAUUUACAGCGCACAGGGGCCUGCUCUGUUUAAUCUGAUGGGCCGAGCAAGUUUAAUUUACCUGGCAACACAAGCUAUCUGAAAUAUGAUUGGUUAAAAACUCUACCAUAAUAAGAAUGAGUUAUUUAUCGAGUGGCUUUCAAUGUUAUUUAAAAUAACACCAAAAGCCACUUGACUAAAUGGAAAUAAUAUGAUGUAAAGAAUACAGAGAAUAAUGUUGUUUACAUAUUUAUGAAAAUUAAAUGAAUUAAAUUUAUGUUAUUCUCAGAAAAAUAAAUUUAUUAGGUUUACUUUUCUGAGAACGUUUAGGCCAACAGAGAAGGUCUUGCUCGCUCUGACGGAACGCUACUGGAUCUAAUGGUGUGCAAAAAAGGAGAGAGCACACUCGGCAUUUUUUAGUCUGCCCUGACUCAUUGAGCAGUCUGGCGGCCUGGUGAAUAAACAAGACAUGACGUCUCUGCGUGGUCUUACAAAACCAAGCUUUUAUAGCACCGAUAAACCAAUCACUGGGCCAGAAAGGAAGCUGUCCCACAUGCUCGUCAGCAGAUUCGGGAGGAUGCGCGUGCGAGCUUCAGACCAAAAAAGGGCGGUGAGGGUGAAUGGUGUGACACGCAGGAUGUGGGAAGGCACCACUCAGUGUCUUUUAUGGAGGAUCGCUGACUCAACUGAGAGCCCACACCUUGUUUUUCCUGGAUUUGAUACUGGAAAACUCAUGACUAAAAGUGGAAAACCAACAACAAAGACAGAGUGAACAGUAAAUGAGUUGUCUUUUUAAUUACAAAUAUGUAUUAAAUAAUAUGAAAGGUACACAUAGGGAGGUAUGCAGUAAUCAUGAAGGUAUUUAUCAUAGUAAUGGCGAUUACGUAUGAAUAUUUACAAUGUUUAUAUAUCUGUAUAUGUACGCGUAUAUCAACACGUUCCUCAAACAGGACACGCAACAAAACAUUCACAUAUGUGUCACAACAAAUAAAAAAAAUGCUGCGGAAGGGUGGGAAAAUACGAAAUUCCAAGUCGUACAAAGGCUUUGGCAAAGAGUGCAUCCUUUAACAAAAAGAAUCCUUUUGUGUAAAUGUACAAAUGAGCAGUCGAGAUGUAAAGGUCCAGUGCAUGUUUUUUUUUUUUUUUAUUCCCAUGAGUCAAGACGGCCGUAUGUGCUGGGCCACUCCCUGCAUUACUCAAGUGUUCCUUGCCUACUGAGAGCCGGCAGGUACCAGCAUGCUUAUUGUAGCCAGGCUGGGUUUGGCGGAAGGGUUCUUGCCGGUGGCCAUCUUGUUCAGGUUCCGAACGUCGGCCUGCCAGGUGGGAAUUUUCUUGGUGGUCAUGUGGCGCCGGGCGUGUUUGGUGAGGUGAUCGCUGCGCAUGAAUCGCCGAUCGCACACGGGGCACACAAACUUCUUCUCGCCGGUGUGCGUCCGCCGGUGCCGGGAGAGCUCGUCAGAGCGGGCGAACCUUUUGUCGCAGCCGUCCCAGCUGCAGCUGAAUGGCUUCUCACCUACACACACACACAAAAAAAAGGGGGUGGUCUUUUUAGCAAGUGUGGUACAUGGACCAUAAAAUCACUACUUAAGUACAGUUCAGUUGUAUUUCACUUUUUAGUUCAGUACAUUUUCAUGUAACCUUGAAAAACUAUUUCUUUUAUAAUUUAUGAACCACAAAUAAUGUGUCGUUGCUGAUCUACCUGUGCCAGCAACAUAGUGACAGACAGGCAUAUAGUGAAGCCUCGCCUAUUUGCGGUUCACUCUUGACGCUUUUCAUUUUUUUCUGUGAAACCCAGACAGUAAAACCUCAUCAAUCGCUAGUUCAAAGUUCUCGGUCCGGCUCUUUCACGGAUUUCUUUUGUACAGUUAAUAAUUAUUCUGGUCUAUCUCCCAUCUAUUAGCAGAGUAAUUCCAGCAUUGAUCACUAGGUGUCUGCACACCAAUUACCUUUGAGACUAAAUGUGAAAGAAGAGGAAGUUAAAAGCAGUGAAUGCCACCCGCUGUGAUCCUGCUUUAUACACCUAAAGAAAGUGACGGCUGAAGGUUCAUUGUAAUGUACGUCUUUGGAUUUGUUUGGGGAAAAAAAACUGCGGGAUUGGAACACCGUUACACCGUUGCUCUCUCUAAAUAUUUGAAAUGUAUUUGUAUUAUUUUGUCAGUAUGUUUAAAGACUUUUU